rnacentral:tRNA from 1 species
GCCGGAGUAGCUCAGGUGGUAGAGCAACGCAUUCGUAAUGCGUGGGUCGGAGGUUCGAGUCCUCUCUCCGGCACCA